UUAUUUUAGCGGCGGACGGGUGAGUAACGUGUGGGUAACCUGCCUUUUACUGUGGAAUAAUCGUUGGAAACGACGACUAAUACCGCAUACGGUUCUUGGAAGGCAUCUUCUAAGAAAGAAAGGAGUAAUUCGGUAAAAGAUGGGCCCGCAUCUGAUUAGCUAGUUGGUGAGAUAAUAGCCCACCAAGGCAACGAUCAGUAGCCGACCUGAGAGGGUGACCGGCCACAUUGGGACUGAGACACGGCCAAACUCCUACGGAAGGCAGCAG
rnacentral:rRNA from 1 species